GUUCCCUUGACCACUUCAUGAUGGUUUAAUAACUUCAUUUUUUGUGCCCUCCUGAAGUGUUUGGGGGAACUC